GUGCUAACGUCCGUCGUGAAGAGGGAAACAACCCAGACCGCCAGCUAAGGUCCCAAAGUCAUGGUUAAGUGGGAAACGAUGUGGGAAGGCACAGACAGCCAGGAUGUUGGCUUAGAAGCAGCCAUCAUUUAAAGAAAGCGUAAUAGCUCACUGGUCGAGUCGGCCUGCGCGGAAGAUGUAACGGGGCUAAACCAUGCACCGAAGCUGCGGCAGCGACACUAUGUGUUGUUGGGUAGGGGAGCGUUCUGUAAGCCUGCGAAGGUGUGCUGUGAGGCAUGCUGGAGGUAUCAGAAGUGCGAAUGCUGACAUAAGUAACGAUAAAGCGGGUGAAAAGCCCGCUCGCCGGAAGACCAAGGGUUCCUGUCCAACGUUAAUCGGGGCAGGGUGAGUCGACCCCUAAGGCGAGGCCGAAAGGCGUAGUCGAUGGGAAACAGGUUAAUAUUCCUGUACUUGGUGUUACUGCGAAGGGGGGACGGAGAAGGCUAUGUUAGCCGGGCGACGGUUGUCCCGGUUUAAGCAUGUAGGCUGAUUGUCCAGGCAAAUCCGGAUAAUCAAGGCUGAGGUGUGAUGACGAGGCACUACGGUGCUGAAGUAACAAAUGCCCUGCUU
rnacentral:rRNA from 1 species